rnacentral:rRNA from 1 species
AUGGGUCGAGAAGAAAUGGGAGUUUGGAAUUCCACGGUUACGAGCUUGUCACAUGGUGCAGAAAUGUUGUGGGACAGCCCAAAGGCAGCAGUAAUCCGGAUCAAGGUACUCGUAUCGUUGGUUGCUGGUGUCCUACUCCUCCUCGCCAUCUUUGGGUCCCAGCGGCGCCGAAGCAGGAACUGGUUGCUCCAGAAUGGUGUGUUUGGGGCGUUUACUUUGUCCUUCUCAGUGGCAACUUACAUACUUGGUUCUAUGCAGUCUUCUUUGCUGAAGAGCACCAUGUACCCCAUCUGGGCCGUAUCUCUCAUCAUGCUUCAUGGUUGCACCGACUCUGUCACAGCCUAUAGUCUGGAAGACAACAAGCAGCUCACAAGGUCCCUCUACCAGGCUGUUAUGUACAGUGCAUAUGCUUUUUUCCUCUUGAUCAGUGUGCGGACGCGCUACACCCCGGCACUUUUUUAUAUGGUUUUACUUGCUUUUGUCAGAUAUGCACAAAGAUUUGCAGUAUGUCAUCUAGCAAGUAACUCAUAUAACUGGAACAAAAUUGUUGCUGAUCACAUGUAUGAGGAGCAAGCUAAGGGUGUGUUUGUCACCAUGGAGCACUGCAGUUACCUGGUUGAGUGGCCUGUCUACAAAUCCAAGUUUGAUGCUCCCACAUAUGCAACACAGUUCACAACUGAUCCUCAGAAAGAUGGUGAAGUCAUCGACAUAGGGAAGAUAUGGCAGUGCAAGGAACCACUAGUCCCAGAACUAAAGGAUGCAUGCCUUUCCUUCUCUCUUUUUCAUCUGCUGAGAAGGCGCUACUUUGGGUUUGCCUGUGACGAAUCCAAAGACAGGGCACACAAUUUUGUCUUCAAAGGGCUUCUAGUUCUAUCUGCAGAUGGUGCCAUGGACUACAACAGGGUGUUCAAGGUGCUUGAGGUUGAGUUGGCCUAUACCUAUGAUUUCUUCUUCACCAAGUAUGCUGUCAUUUAUUAUGGAUCAAUGGCUGCAACAGUUUGGUCCCUGUUUUCUGUCAUCGGCUUAUCUAUCACCGCAUGCAUCACUGCUAUCACGAGCAACUUUAGAGAUGAUGUUGUUAUCACCUUAGUGAUACUUGUAUCCACUGCUUUACUUGAAUUCCUACAGCUCUUGUUUUACUGGAUGGGCAUUUGGGGCAGAGUAUCAUUUGUUUGUCAGUCUAUCAGAGAAGAAGCAAGAAGCAGCAGAAACAAAGCGAGCACAGGGGGAUUAAAGGAGUUUCUUGACAAGGUUGGUGUGUGUCUUGCAUCUUGCAUCAUGGGAUUAAAGAGGUUUCUUGCCAAGAUUGGUGUGAGGUUUGCCCCAUACAAACACUACUGGCAACACAAGCUUGGGCAGUACUCAUUACUUGAUUCAGUCAGCCACAAUCCUAAUCUGUUAAAGCAUAGAUCUGCAUGCAGGUUAUUAUUCAUCAGUUGCUUAAUGGGGACAGUGGUGAAAUUCUUUCACCUUAUGGACUUUAGGUUCUUCCAUCAAACAAAUGUUCAGGCAUUGCGCGUUCGCAAGAAAGCUGGGAAAUCUGUCAAGUUGCCUGAUGAAGUAAAGAAGGCGAUUAUCUGCUCGCUUAAAAGUACGGAUGGUAAACUAAGCAAUGGGCGAUCUUCUUUAGAGUCCAAUGGAGCACAAUGCCUCUUGUGGGCAUGUGAGUGGGAAAUACACCUGGAUCGAAGCUGGUCCCAGAGAAAACAGAGUCAGACACACAUUAUUUUGACUUGGCAUAUUGCAACAUGUUACUGUGAGAUGCUAACACUUUCCCCCGAAAACAUGAUACCUUUUAGCAUUGCCACAAAACUGUCAAAAUAUUGUGCAUACUUGGUGGUCUCUGCACCAAAGCUACUUCCUGGGCACCAUUAUGAUACAACACGCAAGUUCGAUGCAGCAGCAGUAGAAGCAGUCACAUUCCUACAAAGGGCGGAGAGCAAGUACGAGGCCAUGAAGAGUUUACCAGUACCAGACAAGACGGAGAAGAUCUUCGAAAGCGGCGUCAAACUGGGGAAGCAAUUGGAGGACAUGGAAGAGGGCGCCCGCUGGCAGGUGAUGGCUGAUUUCUGGGCCGAGAUAAUGUUCUACCUCGCGCCGUCAGACAAUGUCGAGGAGCACAUCGAGCAGCUGGCAAACGGCGGCGAGUUCAUCACCCACCUCUGGGCAUUGCUCUCUCAUGCAGGCAUCCUUGAGAGGGACCAGGAGUAUCAAGGUGGAGUCGUGUAA